UUAAAAAAAUUUUUAACAUGCAGUUUCCAGUCCAGGUCUUUUACAGGGGAAACCCGAAAUGGCUAAUUAAUUAACCAUGGGUUUUUUGGUAAAAACCCGUUAAAUGGAUAACUGUAAAAACUCAAGAGCUAAUCAAUGCCUGGAUGCCCGGAUCCUUUCCCCCAUUGGCUUGUUCGUAGCUGCAGUUGAGGGCGGGGGAGGGGUGCACUUAUUAGAUCAGAAGCCCACCGGCGUUGCGCGUGUAUUCAUGUGCAAGGCUGAAGCACUUCUGGUGACUCUGGAUAAUUGUUACAGAUCGCAGUCGGCCUUGAGUCGGCGACGGGUCCUUCAAAUGUCUGCCCUAUCAACUUUCGAUGGUAGGUGACCUGCCUACCAUGGUGAUAACGGGUAACGGGGAAUCAGGGUUCGAUCCGAGAGGAGCCUAGAAUCCCCCA
rnacentral:rRNA from 1 species